rnacentral:rRNA from 1 species
UAGGGAAUAUUGGGCAAUGGGCGAAAGCCUGACCCAGCCAUGCCGCGUGCAGGAUGAAGGCCUUCUGGGUUGUAAACUGCUUUUAUCAGGGAAGAAAAAGCUCCUGCGGGAGCAACUGACGGUACCUGAGGAAUAAGCACCGGCUAACUCCGUGCCAGCAGCCGCGGUAAUACGGAGGGUGCAAGCGUUGUCCGGAUUUAUUGGGUUUAAAGGGUGCGUAGGCGGCCUUUUAAGUCAGUGGUGAAAGCCCAUAGCUCAACUAUGGAACUGCCAUUGAUACUGAAAGGCUUGAGUACAGACGAGGUUGGCGGAAUGGAUGGUGUAGCGGUGAAAUGCAUAGAUACCAUCCAGAACUCCGAUUGCGUAGGCAGCUAACUAGGCUGUAACUGACGCUGAGGCACGAAAGCGUGGGGAGCAAACAGG